rnacentral:tRNA from 1 species
GCCGGGGUGGCCGAGCGGCCCAAGGCGCGGGACUGGAGAUCCCGUCCCCGUCAAGGGGGCGUGGGUUCAAAUCCCACCCCCGGCGCCA